GAUGAAGAACGUAGCGAACUGCGAUAAGUAAUGUGAAUUGCAGAAUUCAGUGAAUCAUCGAGUCUUUGAACGCACAUUGCGCCCCCUGGCAUUCCGGGGGGCAUGCCUGUCCGAGCGUCAUUGCUGCCCUUCAAGCCCGGCUUGUGUGUUGGGUCGUCGUCCCCCCCGGGGGACGCGCCCGAAAGGCAGCGGCGGCACCGCGUCCGGUCCUCGAGCGUAUGGGGCUUUGUCACCCGCUCGAUUAGGGCCGGCCGGGCGCCAGCCGGCGUCUCCAACCUUCUAUUUUACCAGGUUGACCUCGGAUCAGGUAGGGAUACCCGCUGAACUUAAGCAUAUCAAUAAGCGGAGGA
rnacentral:misc_RNA from 1 species